rnacentral:rRNA from 1 species
AAAUUGAAGAGUUUGAUCAUGGCUCAGAUUGAACGCUGGCGGCAGGCCUAACACAUGCAAGUCGAACGGUAACAGGAAGCAGCUUGCUGCUUCGCUGACGAGUGGCGGACGGGUGAGUAAUGUCUGGGAAACUGCCUGAUGGAGGGGGAUAACUACUGGAAACGGUGGCUAAUACCGCAUAACGUCGCAAGACCAAAGAGGGGGACCUUCGGGCCUCUUGCCAUCAGAUGUGCCCAGAUGGGAUUAGCUGGUAGGUGGGGUAACGGCUCACCUAGGCGACGAUCCCUAGCUGGUCUGAGAGGAUGACCAGCCACACUGGAACUGAGACACGGUCCAGACUCCUACGGGAGGCAGCAGUGGGGAAUAUUGCACAAUGGGCGCAAGCCUGAUGCAGCCAUGCCGCGUGUAUGAAGAAGGCCUUCGG